AACGAACGCUGGCGGCAGGCUUAACACAUGCAAGUUGAACGGUAUUAUUUAUUAGCUUGCUAAUAGAUAAGAGAGUGGCGCACGGGUGAGUAAUACAUGGGAACAUACCCUAGAGUGGGGGACAACAGUUGGAAACGACUGCUAAUACCGCAUAACGCCUGAGGGUUAAAGAUUUAUCGCUUUAGGAACGGCCCAUGGCAGAUUAGGUAGUUGGUGGGGUAAAGGCCUACCAAGCCGACGAUCUGUAGCUGGUCUGAGAGGACGAUCAGCCACAUUGGGACUGAGACACGGCCCAGACUCCUACGGGAGGCAGCAGUGAGGAAUAUUGGGCAAUGGGCGAAAGCCUGACCCAGCAACGCCGCGUGAAGGAAGAAGGCCUUCGGGUUGUAAACUUCUUUUACCUAGGGACGAACACAAUGACGGUACCUGGAGAAAAAGACAACGGCUAACUACGUG
rnacentral:rRNA from 1 species